rnacentral:rRNA from 1 species
GACGAACGCUGGCGGCGUGCUUAACACAUGCAAGUCGAACGGAAAGGCCCUGCUUUUGUGGGGUGCUCGAGUGGCGAACGGGUGAGUAACACGUGAGUAACCUGCCCUUGACUUUGGGAUAACUUCAGGAAACUGGGGCUAAUACCGGAUAGGAGCUCCUGCUGCAUGGUGGGGGUUGGAAAGUUUCGGCGGUUGGGGAUGGACUCGCGGCUUAUCAGCUUGUUGGUGGGGUAGUGGCUUACCAAGGCUUUGAAGGGUAGCCGGCCUGGGAGGGUGACCGGCCACAUUGGGACUGAGAUACGGCCCAGACUCCUACGGUAGGCAGCAGUGGGGAAUAUUGCACAAUGGGCGGAAGCCUGAUGCAGCAACGCCGCGUGCGGGAUGACGGCCUUCGGGUUGUAAACCGCUUUCGCCUGUGACGAAGCGUGAGUGACGGUAAUGGGUAAAGAAGCACCGGCUAACUACGUG